GAUGAAGAACGCAGCGAAAUGCGAUACUUGGUGUGAAUUGCAGAAUCCCGUGAACCAUCGAGUCUUUGAACGCAAGUUGCGCCCGAAGCCAUUAGGCCGAGGGCACGCCUGCCUGGGCGUCACACGUCGUUGCCCCCCCAUCUACUCCUUCGGGAUUGCGGGGGGCGGAUGAUGGCCUCUCGUGCGCCUCGUCGCGCGGUUGGCCUAAAUGCCAAGUCCUCGGCGACGCACGCCACGACAAUCGGUGGUUGCGAAACCUCGGUUGCCUGUCGUGUGCGGUCGUCGCGCAUCGAGGGCUCGAAAAAAUUGCCGGGCUUCGGCUCGACUUUCAACGCGACCCCAGGUCAGGCGGGGUUACCCGCUGAAUUUAAGCAUAUCAAUAGCGGAGGA
rnacentral:misc_RNA from 1 species